UACGUAGGGUGCAAGCGUUGUCCGGAAUUAUUGGGCGUAAAGAGCUCGUAGGCGGUCUGUCACGUCUGCUGUGAAAACUCGGGGCUUGACCCCGGGCCUGCAGUGGGUACGGGCAGACUAGAGUGCGGUAGGGGAGACUGGAAUUCCUGGUGUAGCGGUGAAAUGCGCAGAUAUCAGGAGGAACACCGGUGGCGAAGGCGGGUCUCUGGGCCGUAACUGACGCUGAGGAGCGAAAGCGUGGGGAGCGAACAGG
rnacentral:rRNA from 1 species